rnacentral:misc_RNA from 1 species
GAUGAAGAACGCAGUGAAAUGCGAUAAGUAAUGUGAAUUGCAGAAUUCAGUGAAUCAUCGAAUCUUUGAACGCACAUUGCGCCCGCCAGUAUUCUGGCGGGCAUGCCUGUUCGAGCGUCAUUUCAACCCUCAGGCCCCCAGUGCCUGGUGUUGGGGAUCGGCCCAGCCUUCCUGUAAGGCCGCCGGCCCCGAAAUCUAGUGGCGGUCUCGCUGUAGUCCUCCUCUGCGUAGUAGCACAACCUCGCAGUUGGAACGCGGCGGUGGCCAUGCCGUUAAACACCCCACUUCUGAAAGUUGACCUCGGAUCAGGUAGGAAUACCCGCUGAACUUAAGCAUAUAAUAAGCGGAGGA